GGCAGCUAGGCCGUCGUUAGUGGUUGAGGCCGACUGCGAUAAAUCUUCAAGCCGCCUUGAGGACAGCCACUAUAAAACAAUUCCUGGAUAGAAAUAUUUGAAAUUAUUUACCCCUAAAUUUAUCUUUGUAAAUACGGCCCACAUUAAUCAUAACGAAGGGUGGCGUGGAGUGCAGUGCAGCAGUGUUCAGACAAUGUGAGCGCCACCGCAAACAACUGCACCGGUCUUUUAAUCUCACGAACGCCGAACGGGGAGAUAUUCACCACAUCAACUGAUCACUAGUUUUGUACCUUGAUUCUUUUUAUUCUUUGUAACGGUUAUGUAUCACUGUGAUUACUGCAGAGAUUUAUGUGUGGGUAUACAUUGGCUAUAAUGGCUCUAUGCAUAUCCCCUGUGCAUAUUUAAAGUUAAACUAGUUAACUACAGUCACCGUUUAUUGUAUUUAUUGAUGAUGCUAUUGUAACAGCAAUUUUGUUAAUGAUAGGGAUUAGUUUGUUCAAAUUUCACGUAGCCUAAAUCUUUGAAAAAGUAAAGACUGCAUCUGUAAAAAAAAUAUGUUAACAACGAAACAAUACUAAAUACUUAGUAUUCUCAGUAUUAAGUAAGGAGUAAUGAUAUUUAAAUAUUAUUUAUACGGACAAUGUAAAAAAAUAAAGAAUCUUCCACCCAUGAA